rnacentral:rRNA from 1 species
UACAGAGGGUGCAAGCGUUAAUCGGAAUUACUGGGCGUAAAGCGCGCGUAGGUGGUUUGUUAAGUUGGAUGUGAAAGCCCCGGGCUCAACCUGGGAACUGCAUUCAAAACUGACAAGCUAGAGUAUGGUAGAGGGUGGUGGAAUUUCCUGUGUAGCGGUGAAAUGCGUAGAUAUAGGAAGGAACACCAGUGGCGAAGGCGACCACCUGGACUGAUACUGACACUGAGGUGCGAAAGCGUGGGGAGCAAGCAGG